UGAACGCUAGCGACAGGCUAACACAUGCAAGUCAGGGGGCAGCAUAAAAGUAGCAUACUUGGUGGCGACCGGCGCACGGGUGAGUAACGCGUAUGCAAACCUACCUAUCAGAGGGGAAUAACCCGGCGAAAGUCGGACUAAUACCGCAUAAAACAGGGACACCGCAUGGUGAUAUUGUUAAAGAAAUUCGCUGAUAGAUGGGCAUGCGUUCCAUUAGGUAAUUGGUGAGGUAACGGCUCACCAAGCCGACGAUGGAUAGGGGAACUGAGAGGUUGGUCCCCCACACUGGUACUGAGACACGGACCAGACUCCUACGGGAGGCAGCAGUGAGGAAUAUUGGUCAAUGGGCGAGAGCCUGAACCAGCCAAGUCGCGUGAAGGAAGAAGGAUCUAUGGUUCGUAAACUUCUUUUGCAGGGGAAUAAAGUGCAGGACGUGUCCUGUUUUGUAUGUACCCUGAGAAUAAGGAUCGGCUAACUCCGUGCCAGCCGCCGC
rnacentral:rRNA from 1 species